rnacentral:misc_RNA from 1 species
UCCGGCUUAACGCCGGCAGUCUCCCUAGAGUGCCCAACUGAAUGGUGGCAACUAAGAACAAGGGUUGCGCUCGUUGCGGGACUUAACCCAACACCUCACGGCACGAGCUGACGACAGCCAUGCACCACCUGCGCAGAAGUCCCUUGCGGGAGGUGCUCACUUUCGUGAGCAUUUCCUCUGCAUGUCAAACCCAGGUAAGGUUCUUCGCGUUGCCUCGAAUUAAACCGCAUGCUCCGCCGCUUGUGCGGGCCCCCGUCAAUUCCUUUGAGUUUCAGUCUUGCGACCGUACUCCCCAGGUGGAUCACUUAAUGCUUUUGCUCAGACACCAACAGUGUAUCGCUGAUGUCGAGUGAUCAUCGUUUAGGGCGUGGACUAC